AGCAGCCGCGGUAAUUCCAGCUCCAAUAGCGUAUAUUAAAGUUGUUGCAGUUAAAAAGCUCGUAGUUGAAUUUCGGGGUUAGUAGGUUGGUCAUGCCUCUGGUAUGUACUGGUCUCACUGAUUCCUCCUUCCUGAUGAACCGUAAUGCCAUUAAUUUGGUGUUUCGGGGAAUUUGGACUGUUACUUUGAAAAAAUUAGAGUGUUUAAAGCAAGCUAACGCUUGAAUACAUUAGCAUGGAAUAAUGAAAUAGGACGUUCGAUCCUAUUUUGUUGGUUUCUAGGAUUGACGUAAUGAUUAAUAGGGAUAGUUGGGGGCAUUAGUAUUCAAUUGUCAGAGGUGAAAUUCUUGGAUUUAUUGGAGACUAGCUACUGCGAAAGCAUUUGCCAAGGAUGUUUUCAUUAAUCAAGAACGAAAGUUAGGGGAUCGAAGACGAUCAGAUACCGUCGUAGUCUUAACCAUAAACUAUGCCGACUAGGGAUCGGAUGAUGUUAAUUUUUUAAUGACUCAUUCGGCGCCUUACG
rnacentral:rRNA from 1 species